GGGGGGACCAUCCUCCAAGGCUAAAUACUCCUGACUGACCGAUAGUGAACCAGUACCGUGAGGGAAAGGCGAAAAGAACCCCGGCGAGGGGAGUGAAAAAGAACCUGAAACCGUGUACGUACAAGCAGUGGGAGCACGCUUAGGCGUGUGACUGCGUACCUUUUGUAUAAUGGGUCAGCGACUUAUAUUCUGUAGCAAGGUUAACCGAAUAGGGGAGCCGAAGGGAAACCGAGUCUUAACUGGGCGUUAAGUUGCAGGGUAUAGACCCGAAACCCGGUGAUCUAGCCAUGGGCAGGUUGAAGGUUGGGUAACACUAACUGGAGGACCGAACCGACUAAUGUUGAAAAAUUAGCGGAUGACUUGUGGCUGGGGGUGAAAGGCCAAUCAAACCGGGAGAUAGCUGGUUCUCCCCGAAAGCUAUUUAGGUAGCGCCUCGUGAAUUCAUCUCCGGGGGUAGAGCACUGUUUCGGCAAGGGGGUCAUCCCGACUUACCAACCCGAUGCAAACUGCGAAUACCGGAGAAUGUUAUCACGGGAGACACACGGCGGGUGCUAACGUCCGUCGUGAAGAGGGAAACAACCCAGACCGCCAGCUAAGGUCCCAAAGUCAUGGUUAAGUGGGAAACGAUGUGGGAAGGCCCAGACAGCCAGGAUGUUGGCUUAGAAGCAGCCAUCAUUUAAAGAAAGCGUAAUAGCUCACUGGUCGAGUCGGCCUGCGCGGAAGAUGUAACGGGGCUAAACCAUGCACCGAAGCUGCGGCAGCGACACUAUGUGUUGUUGGGUAGGGGAGCGUUCUGUAAGCCUGUGAAGGUGUACUGUGAGGUAUGCUGGAGGUAUCAGAAGUGCGAAUGCUGACAUAAGUAACGAUAAAGCGGGUGAAAAGCCCGCUCGCCGGAAGACCAAGGGUUCCUGUCCAACGUUAAUCGGGGCAGGGUGAGUCGACCCCUAAGGCGAGGCCGAAAGGCGUAGUCGAUGGGAAACAGGUUAAUAUUCCUGUACUUGGUGUUACUGCGAAGGGGGGACGGAGAAGGCUAUGUUGGCCGGGCGACGGUUGUCCCGGUUUAAGCGUGUAGGCUGGUUUUCCAGGCAAAUCCGGAAAACUAAGGCUGAGGCGUGAUGACGAGGCACUACGGUGCUGAAGCAACAAAUGCCCUGCUUCCAGGAAAAGCCUCUAAGCAUCAGGUAACAUCAAAUCGUACCCCAAACCGACACAGGUGGUCAGGUAGAGAAUACCAAGGCGCUUGAGAGAACUCGGGUGAAGGAACUAGGCAAAAUGGUGCCGUAACUUCGGGAGAAGGCACGCUGAUAUGUAGGUGAAGUCCCUCGCGGAUGGAGCUGAAAUCAGUCGAAGAUACCAGCUGGCUGCAACUGUUUAUUAAAAACACAGCACUGUGCAAACACGAAAGUGGACGUAUACGGUGUGACGCCUGCCCGGUGCCGGAAGGUUAAUUGAUGGGGUCAGCGCAAGCGAAGCUCUUGAUCGAAGCCCCGGUAAACGGCGGCCGUAACUAUAACGGUCCUAAGGUAGCGAAAUUCCUUGUCGGGUAAGUUCCGACCUGCACGAAUGGCGUAAUGAUGGCCAGGCUGUCUCCACCCGAGACUCAGUGAAAUUGAACUCGCUGUGAAGAUGCAGUGUACCCGCGGCAAGACGGAA
rnacentral:rRNA from 1 species